AUAAUACUUCCUUCGUUCGAAUACUUAUCGUAGAAAUGGAUGUAUCUUAGUUUUAGAUACAUUCAUUUUUAUACAUUUUUCCGACAAGUAUUUUGGGACGGAGGAAGUAUCUU
rnacentral:pre_miRNA from 1 species